rnacentral:rRNA from 1 species
UACGUGGGUGGCAAGCGUUAUCCGGAUUUACUGGGUGUAAAGGGCGUGUAGGCGGUUUUGCAAGUCAGAUGUGAAAUCUCCGGGCUUAACCCGGAAACUGCAUCUGAAACUGCAGAACUUGAGUACUGGAGAGGAUAGUGGAAUUCCUAGUGUAGCGGUAAAAUGCGUAGAUAUUAGGAGGAACACCAGUGGCGAAGGCGACUAUCUGGACAGUAACUGACGCUGAGGCGCGAAAGCGUGGGGAGCAAACAGGAUUAGAUACCCGCGUAGU